rnacentral:rRNA from 1 species
AUUGAACGCUGGCGGCAUGCUUUACACAUGCAAGUCGAACGGCAGCGAGGAGAAGCUUGCUUCUCUGUCGGCGAUUGGCGAACGGGUGAGUAUAGCAUCGGAACGUGCCAAGUAGUGGGGGAUAACCAAACGAAAGUUUGGCUAAUACCGCGUAAGCUCUAAGGAGGAAAGUAGGGGACCUAAAUAAGGCCUUACGCUAUUUGAUCGGCCGAUGUCGGAUUGCUAGUUGGUGGGGUAAUGGCUCACCAAGGCAAUGAUCCGUAGCGGGUCUGAGAGGACGAUCCGCCACACUGGGACUGAGACACGGCCCAGACUCCUACGGGAGGCAGCAGUGGGGAAUUUUGGACAAUGGGGGAAACCCUGAUCCAGCCAUGCCGCGUGUAUGAAGAAGGCCUUAGGGUUGUAAAGUACUUUUGUUAGGGAAGAAAAGCUAGUUUUUAAUAAAAAUUAGUGAUGACGGUACCUAAAGAAUAAGCACCGGCUAACUACGUG